UUAUGCUUCUCUAGAUUAACCGAAUCUAACGCAAACAUCCCAAAACAGCAAAGCAUACACACUAAGUGCAACACUCAUGUUCCUGCUUUUUGAUCGGAUCUAAUUCCGAAAUCAAGCAAGAAUAAAUUAUUUAACCCACACUAUCAUCCUUAGUAAAAUAUAUUUCAGAAGUCUAAUAAAACCUGGACUCGCUAUUAUUAAAUGCCAACGACUUAAAAUAGUUAUAGGAACAAUCUAAUUAACUCUUUAAACCAUGCGUCUUAAUUAACUUAAAUUACACACUUAACACAAUUGGCCUAGACAUAACUUAUCCACUAAUUAAUUAAAUGCUAAACUUACCCAUCGCAUUAUUAAUUAUACUCACAAAGAAUUAUUUUAAUUUUAUUUCGCACCACUCAUAUUUAUUCAAUCUAUCUAACGAUUCGGCUAACAGGAAUAACGAAUCAGCUCACCAUACUAAAAUCCGACUUGAACCCACGAAAUCGACGAUGCUACUCUCUUUUAAACAUUCAGAGCAACAAUUAACAUUUAUUCAAGACAUUUAACCGGUCACUAGUUAUAAUAUAACGAUCACUAAAGCAGAGCAUCGACUUCAUCAAACCAUCAUUAUUUGAUACGAGCAAUAUAGGAAACGCCUACCACCAGAACAUUCAAAACACGAAACCUAUGAUUUGACGAUUACCAAAUGAUGCUAUUUUUAAGGCACCGCCACGAGCCAUACACAGGCAACCAGCAGGGAUCUGACGAUAUCACACAACGUACUAUAACCAAACGACUAAAAUCCGCGAGAAGGACGACGGUUUCCCGGUUCGCGCAUAUCACCAAAUACGUGACGAGCGAAGUACUAGACUUCGCUAUUCUACACGAUCAAAUUUUAUUCUCGCAAUAAUCCACUACUACGAUUUACUCGUACGUCACCGGCCCACAUUAACAGCGCAAACAUACCAAACUGAUGAGAAAUAUUAAAACGAAGAGCGAGAGCGAUGAUAGCUCACCAAUAAUUUAAUUUAUCUCAAAGGUCACGAGCACAGCUACGAUUUUCAUUUCCGCCAUUACGUAAUUCCGCCAUUACGUCGAGCACCUCACGAGCGACGCUGUGGACGAGUCGAGGAAGGCACGGCUGGUGGUGUCCUGCAGCUAAAGCCAGCGAGCUGCGAAGGACGUAGUCCGGCGCGCGCAGCCAACAGAGAAGCAGGGGUGUCCGGCACGUGUGCGCGGCAACGCAAGACCCAACGAGCAAAGACGGCGCGACGACCAUGAUACAGGCGAGCUGGAGGCCGGCAAGCUGACGGCGCUGAGGAAACUCGCGAGCAGGAUCCGAAGCCAGCCAUGGCGAGCUUGAAGAAACACAUAGAGGACAGACCUCGGGGCAAGCUGGGGACAGAGUGAAGGCAAGCGAGCAGAUGCUAGGGUCGAGCGGCCGGCUGAGACAGAGACAACGCCGAGGUGCUAGAGACCGCCAGACCGGCGAGGUGAGGGCUGGAAGGAGCGGUUGGGAAGAGAGGGACGUGAGGGAAGAAGCCGAAGUCUGUAGGCAGCGGUGACCAAGGAAAUAUCCAAAUGACUCCAUAGCAUCAAUCAAUAUAUUAAAAAUGCCUAAACCAGAUGUGUCAUCCACCUUCAGGAACCCCAAAAAAUACUCCUCAAUGUUUAUCUUUCCAUAAGACAAGUUAACACAACGAAUCAAUAAAGUCAUUUGUAUGAACUC